rnacentral:rRNA from 1 species
GAUGAACGCUGGCGGCGUGCCUAUUACAUGCAAGUCGAGCGAACAGACGAGGAGCUUGCUCCUCUGACGUUAGCGGCGGACGGGUGAGUAACACGUGGAUAACCUACCUAUAAGACUGGGAUAACUUCGGGAAACCGGAGCUAAUACCGGAUAAUAUAUUGAACCGCAUGGUUCAAUAGUGAAAGACGGUUUUGCUGUCACUUAUAGAUGGAUCCGCGCCGCAUUAGCUAGUUGGUAAGGUAACGGCUUACCAAGGCGACGAUGCGUAGCCGACCUGAGAGGGUGAUCGGCCACACUGGAACUGAGACACGGUCCAGACUCCUACGGGAGGCAGCAGUAGGGAAUCUUCCGCAAAGGGCGAAAGCCUGACGGAGCAACGCCGCGUGAGUGAUGAAGGUCUUCGGAUCGUAAAACUCUGUUAUUAGGGAAGAACAAAUGUGUAAGUAACUAUGCACGUCUUGACGGUACCUAAUCAGAAAGCCACGGCUAACUACGUG